GGAGUCCCUGUUUACACACAGCUUCCAGGCAGCAGGUGGGCAUUUUGCCUGAGUGAAGACUCCAAGGAUGAGGAUUUGUCUCCUUUCUGCAGACAUACCAGCCAAUGAAUGCAAUGACAGAGAUAGUCACAGACGCCGCAAACUUUAAACAACUAUUAAAUUCUGAAUGAGUAAACGAACAGGAAAACUACAGACGAACGGCCUGCUAGCGAGGAGGACGCUGAAUGGACCCCCAGCAAAUCCUGUCCUGUUCAGACAACAGCUCCUGGGUGCAAACAGCAGUGCCCUGGCACCAAACUAUGGUGCUCCCUGUACAUACAUAAUGUAUGGGACACACGGCUCUUUCCAAGCCAGACUACUUCGUUUUUAGGGUGAAAAACAUUGCAGAGAAACCGCGUUAAACCCAAGCAAAGAACCGACAAAAGCUUGCCAGAGAUCACCCCCUUGGGCUCUGGCUGGAGCAGUCCUUCACUCCCCACCUCCAGGGUUUCCUUGUGGUUUCAAGUUCAUCACAGCUUCAGCUCAGAACAAGCUCCCAGUCAUAUGGGGCUUCAAUAGGCCCCAUCCUUCCAACCCGGGGUCCGGUCUGUGGGCUGGAUCAGGAAGAAGCCCCGAGGCAGUUUAAAAACCAGGAUUUUUGGAUAAACAGCCUUUCUUUGUCGGCUGGUGCCUGGAGAAUCCCGUCUGAACCAGGAUAUGUGGAUCUCUCCGGGCGGAGUGUUUCUCUGGAGGUGUCGCAACCUGUGUGAAUUUGCCUAAUCACGCCCUGCUGUUCUCCUGUUUACCUUUCUAGAGAUAUAUACAAUCCCUCAACAACACAUAGACCAGUGUAUUGUUAAUA